CAAGUCCUGCCCCAGGAAGAGUCCACCCCUGGGAAGCCUAUCUUUGCGCAACGCAGGGUGACCUGCGGGGCGAAGCGUAGGAGGGCAUGUGGGCGGGCCGGGUGAUCGAGCUCCGAAACAACAUGGUUCGAGGGAGCCAACGCAGUUAGACCAUGCGGAUGGCCAUAGCGUGUUUCCGAAUAAUGUGGACCUGGAUUCACUGCUCCCUCCGGGGUCCAAGAGUU
rfam:Minicystis rosea strain DSM 24000, complete genome.